AGAGUUUGAUCCUGGCUCAGGAUGAACGCUGGCGGCGUGCCUAACACAUGCAAGUCGAGCGAACUCUUCGGAGUGAGCGGCGGACGGGUGAGUAACGCGUGGGUAACCUGCCCUGUAUACAUGGAUAACAUACCGAAAGGUAUGCUAAUACGAGAUAAUAUGCUUUUAUCGCAUGGUAGAAGUAUCAAAGCUUUUGCGGUACAGGAUGGACCCGCGUCUGAUUAGCUAGUUGGUAAGGUAACGGCUUACCAAGGCGACGAUCAGUAGCCGACCUGAGAGGGUGAUCGGCCACAUUGGAACUGAGACACGGUCCAAACUCCUACGGGAGGCAGCAGUGGGGAAUAUUGCACAAUGGGCGAAAGCCUGAUGCAGCAACGCCGCGUGAGCGAUGAAGGCCUUCGGGUCGUAAAGCUCUGUCCUCAAGGAAGAUAAUGACGGUACUUGAGGAGGAAGCCCCGG
rnacentral:rRNA from 1 species